rnacentral:misc_RNA from 1 species
GGAAUAAGGUCCUCAACACAAUAAGAAGGAUGAAUCCAGAUCUCUUUGUCCAUGGAGUUGUGAAUGGAUCGUACAAUGCUCCGUUCUUCGUCACACGCUUCCGGGAAGCUUUGUUCCACUUCUCUGCUCUGUUUGACAUGCUUGAUACCAAUGUGCCACGAGAGGAUGAACAGAGGCUGCUGAUUGAGAGGGAUCUGUUCGGAAGGGAUGCUCUUAAUGUGGUAGCGUGUGAGGGAUCGGAGAGGGUGGAGAGACCAGAGACUUACAAGCAG